UACGUAGGGUGCAAGCGUUAAUCGGAAUUACUGGGCGUAAAAGCGUGCGCAGGCGGUUUUGUAAGUCAGAUGUGAAAUCCCCGGGCUUAACCUGGGAACUGCGUUUGAAACUACAAGGCUAGAGUGUGGCAGAGGGGGUAGAAUUCCACGUGUAGCAGUGAAAUGCGUAGAUAUGUGGAGGACACCGAUGGCGAAGGCAGCCCCCCUGGGGUCA
rnacentral:rRNA from 1 species